rnacentral:lncRNA from 1 species
UAAUAAAGAUGAGAUACAUUUUGUAUGCUAAAGAUACAUUUUGGUCAUCUUGUAUCUCAGUUUAUAUAUUUAUAUAUAAUUAUGUAUCUCGUUGUGUUUUAGUGUAAUCUAUAUCAACAUAUGAAGAAAACAUAAUAGUUUUAAAUUAGAUACAUGUUGUACAUUUUUGUGUGGUUUAUGUAUCUAUUAAUCUGCUUUUUGGCAGUAAGUGAAGGAUAAAAAUUUG